UGUUUCGGCUAGGGGGUCAUCCCGACUUACCAACCCGAUGCAAACUGCGAAUACCGAAGAAUGUUAUCACGGGAGACACACGGCGGGUGCUAACGUCCGUCGUGAAGAGGGAAACAACCCAGACCGCCAGCUAAGGUCCCAAAGUCAUGGUUAAGUGGGAAACGAUGUGGGAAGGCACAGACAGCCAGGAUGUUGGCUUAGAAGCAGCCAUCAUUUAAAGAAAGCGUAAUAGCUCACUGGUCGAGUCGGCCUGCGCGGAAGAUGUAACGGGGCUAAACCAUGCACCGAAGCUGCGGCAGCGACACUAUGUGUUGUUGGGUAGGGGAGCGUUCUGUAAGCCGUUGAAGGUGUAUCGUGAGGUAUGCUGGAGGUAUCAGAAGUGCGAAUGCUGACAUAAGUAACGAUAAUGCGGGUGAAAAACCCGCACGCCGGAAGACCAAGGGUUCCUGUCCAACGUUAAUCGGGGCAGGGUGAGUCGACCCCUAAGGCGAGGCCGAAAGGCGUAGUCGAUGGGAAACAGGUUAAUAUUCCUGUACUUGGUGUUACUGCGAAGGGGGGACGGAGAAGGCUAUGUUAGCCGGGCGACGGUUGUCCCGGUUUAAGCAUGUAGGCGGAGGUUCCAGGUAAAUCCGGUACCUUUUUAACGCUGAGGUGUGAUGACGAGGCACUACGGUGCUGAAGUAACAAAUGCCCUGCUUCCAGGAAAAGCCUCUAAGCAUCAGGUAACACGAAAUCGUACCCCAAACCGACACAGGUGGUCAGGUAGAGAAUACCAAGGCGCUUGAGAGAACUCGGGUGAAGGAACUAGGCAAAAUGGUGCCGUAACUUCGGGAGAAGGCACGCUGAUAUGUAGGUGAAGUGAUUUACUCAUGGAGCUGAAAUCAGUCGAAGAUACCAGCUGGCUGCAACUGUUUAUUAAAAACACAGCACUGUGCAAACACGAAAGUGGACGUAUACGGUGUGACGCCUGCCCGGUGCCGGAAGGUUAAUUGAUGGGGUUAUCCGUAAGGAGAAGCUCUUGAUCGAAGCCCCGGUAAACGGCGGCCGUAACUAUAACGGUCCUAAGGUAGCGAAAUUCCUUGUCGGGUAAGUUCCGACCUGCACGAAUGGCGUAAUGAUGGCCAGGCUGUCUCCACCCGAGACUCAGUGAAAUUGAACUCGCUGUGAAGAUGCAGUGUACCCGCGGCAAGACGGAAAGACCCCGUGAACCUUUACUAUAGCUUGACACUGAACACUGGUCCUUGAUGUGUAGGAUAGGUGGGAGGCUUUGAAGUGUGGACGCCAGUCUGCAUGGAGCCAUCCUUGAAAUACCACCCUUUAAUGGCUGGUGUUCUAACGUGGACCCGUAAUCCGGGUUGCGGACAGUGUCUGGUGGGUAGUUUGACUGGGGCGGUCUCCUCCUAAAGAGUAACGGAGGAGCACGAAGGUUAGCUAAUCCUGGUCGGACAUCAGGAGGUUAGUGCAAAGGCAUAAGCUAGCUUGACUGCGAGAGUGACGGCUCGAGCAGGUGCGAAAGCAGGUCUUAGUGAUCCGGUGGUUCUGAAUGGAAGGGCCAUCGCUCAACGGAUAAAAGGUACUCCGGGGAUAACAGGCUGAUACCGCCCAAGAGUUCAUAUCGACGGCGGUGUUUGGCACCUCGAUGUCGGCUCAUCACAUCCUGGGGCUGAAGUAGGUCCCAAGGGUAUGGCUGUUCGCCAUUUAAAGUGGUACGCGAGCUGGGUUUAGAACGUCGUGAGACAGUUCGGUCCCUAUCUGCCGUGGGCGCUGGAGAAUUGAGGGGGGCUGCUCCUAGUACGAGAGGACCGGAGUGGACGCAUCACUGGUGUUCGGGUUGUCAUGCCAAUGGCAUUGCCCGGUAGCUAAAUGCGGAAGAGAUAAGUGCUGAAAGCAUCUAAGCACGAAACUUGCCCCG
rnacentral:rRNA from 1 species